CAGUCGCCGGUAAUACAGAGGGUGCGAGCGUUAAUCGGAUUUACUGGGCGUAAAGCGUGUGUAGGUUGUUGUUCAAGUCAGUUGUGAAAUCCCUGGGCUCAACCUGGGAACUGCUUCUGAGACUGAACGACUAGAGUACGGUAGAGGGUGGUGGAAUUUCCGGUGUAGCGGUGAAAUGCGUAGAUAUCGGAAGGAACAUCAAUGGCGAAGGCAGCCACCUGGGCCUGUACUGACACUGAGACACGAAAGCGUGGGGAUCAAACAGGAUUAGAUACCCGUGUAGUCCCUGUCUCUUAUACAC
rnacentral:rRNA from 1 species